AGCUGAAAUAAACAAGAAAACAAAGGAAAUAGGGCAUACGGGGGAGGGGGAGGGGGAGAGAGAGAGAGAGAGAGAGAGAGGCUGAGCAAACUGAAGAAGAAGGGGAAAAGAGGAACAGCUUCGGGGAGCUCCGAACCGAGUUUGAGCUCCGUUAUCUUUCUUACCCAAAUGAAGACUGGAGCGGGUAGGAAUUGAACAGAAGGAUGAGAAAGAGAAAGCUAGGCUUGGGUUCUUGAAACUACUCUGCAGGUCACAAGGCACAACAAGCCUUCACCGGCAAACGCAACCAACAACAUGCACACUUUCCAAACACUGAAAAGCAUAUGUAGACAGUGCGUUCAAAAACAGAGAAGCAACAACACACUGUCUCAACGCAACCAACAAGGCAGAAGUAGUGACCUAUUCAUCAAAUCAAGGGAGAGGGGAGGGGAAGAAUAUCUCUUCGAGUGGAGAUGGGGUUGCGAAUCUAAGUACAAGGCGGUCUAAAAGAAGAGAAAGAGGUACACAGAGCUAUGGAGAUGGGGGCCCCUACUAAGAUCGUUGCCAGGAACCCUCUCCUUUGGUCACAGAGGUUAUCUACCUCCAUGAAUCUCCCCUGACAAAGCCUGUAUUAUCGAGUACUGCAGACCCUACUUUGGGCUUCUUCUCUGUGGUCGUCAACACGCUGAAGAUGGGAUGAAAUUGUAUCGGUGGGGAUUCCGCAGCUUCCUUUACUGAUAAGGGUUUCGAGGUAGAAGCUGCCUUUCCCGUCCGACUGAGGCCUUGAAGAGUCCGAAGCUCACUUUCAGACAGCAAUUGCACUAUUAAAUGGCGGAUUUCUCGUCAAUAAUCGGCAGUUUGUGCUCGAUCUGGUCGUUGCUGUUGUGGAUGCCAGUCUCGGAAGCGAAGGCCACUCGGCUAGUCUUGUUGAGAAAGAGAAAAGGGGGAAGGCGAUGAAGACAGAGCAAGGACGAGGAAGACAAAGGAGGGGCCCAUCGAAAUGGUAACAUUUACUGGGAAGAAUGGGGCCACCACUUUGACUCUUGCAAAAAGAGACAAAUUGGGGAAGUUUGUCUUAUAGCUAUUUCCGACAAAUUGCAAAAAGAAACGCAUCCCGUUCCUCUUUUCGCCGAUGAAGUACGACGAGAAUAUUCAUUUUGUCACGUGAAUUUUAUGUCUUGAAAUUGUACAAAUUAAUUUGUUAUUUGAUUUUUUUACUCGAAUCAAAUUUAACAUGAUCUAAGAAAAAACAGUAUAAAUUAAUGAAAUGAGGAAUGAUAUGUGAUUAAUU